rnacentral:rRNA from 1 species
CGGACGGGUGAGUAACGCGUGGAAAACCUGCCGUAUACUGGGGGAUAACACUUAGAAAUAGGGUGCUAAUACCGCAUAAGCGCACAGCUUCGCAUGAAGCGGUGUGAAAAACUCUGGUGGUAUACGAUGGUUCCGCGUCUGAUUAGCUAGUUGGUGGGGUAAUGGCCUACCAAGGCAACGAUCAGUAGCCGGCCUGAGAGGGUGAACGGCCACAUUGGGACUGAGACACGGCCCAAACUCCUACGGAAGGCAGCAG